rnacentral:rRNA from 1 species
GACAGAGGGUGCAAACGUUGCUCGGAAUUACUGGGCGUAAAGGGCGUGUAGGCGGGAAGGCAAGUCGGGCGUGAAAUCCCCAGGCUCAACCUGGGAACUGCACUCGAAACUGCCUUUCUUGAGUGUCGGAGAGGAAGGCGGAAUUCCUGGUGUAGAGGUGAAAUUCGUAGAUAUCAGGAGGAACACCAGUGGCGAAGGCGGCUUUCUGGACGAUAACUGACGCUGAGACGCGAAAGCGUGGGGAGCAAACAGG